AACAGGAUUAGAUACCCUGGUAGUCCACGCCGUAAACGAUGAGUGCUAGGUGUUGGAGGGUUUCCGCCCUUCAGUGCCGCAGUUAACGCAUUAAGCACUCCGCCUGGGGAGUACGACCGCAAGGUUGAAACUCAAAGGAAUUGACGGGGUCCCGCACAAGCGGUGGAGCAUGUGGUUUAAUUCGAAGCAACGCGAAGAACCUUACCAAGUCUUGACAUCCUUUGACCACCCUAGAGAUAGGGCUUUCCCUUCGGGGACAAAGUGACAGGUGGUGCAUGGUUGUCGUCAGCUCGUGUCGUGAGAUGUUGGGUUAAGUCCCGCAACGAGCGCAACCCCUAUUAUUAGUUGCCAGCAUUUAAUUGGGCACUCUAAUGAGACUGCCGGUGACAAACCGGAGGAAGGUGGGGAUGACGUCAAAUCAGCAUGCCCCUUAUGACUUGGGCUACACACGUGCUACAAUGGAUGGUACAACGAGUCGCAAACCCGCGAGGGCAAGCAAAUCUCUUAAAGCCAUUCUCAGUUCGGAUUGCAGGCUGCAACUCGCCUGCAUGAAGCCGGAAUCGCUAGUAAUCGUGGAUCAGCGCGCCACGGUGAAUACGUUCUCGGGUCUUGUACACACCGCCCGUCACACCACGAGAGUUUGUAACACCCGAAGUCGGUGAGGUAACCUUUAUGGAGCCAGCCGCCGAAGGUGGGACAGAUGAUUGGGGUGAAGUCGUAACAAGGUAACC
rnacentral:rRNA from 1 species